rnacentral:rRNA from 1 species
CGCUCUUUGUGUAUAUGUAUUAAAGAUGGAGAGUCGGACCUGCCCAGUGACAUACGUGUUAAACGGCCGCGGUACUCUGACCGUGCAAAGGUAGCAUAAUCACUUGCCUUUUAAUUGGAGGCUUGUAUGAAUGGUUUAACGAGAACUAAGCUGUCUCCUUUUAAAUAUUUAGAAAUUAACUUAUAGGUGAAGAGGCCUAUAUGUGUUUGAGGGACAAGAAGACCCUUUUGAGUUUUAGUGAAGUUAGAAAAGAAAUUUAUUUCAAUUUAUUAGGUUGAAAUAAUAGACUGUGUAGUGACAUAAUUUAAUUUUUUAGUUAAUCUUUAGUUGGGGCGACUGAGGAGCAUAAUGAGCUUCCUUUAAGUUUAUAUUAUGGCUGGCUGGCUAAUUUGAUCCAGUAUUUAUUGAUUAAAGGAAAAAAUUACCAUAGGGAUAACAGCGUAAUCUUUUCGGAGAGUUCUUAUCGAAGAAAGGGUUUGCGACCUCGAUGUUGGACUAAGAUAUCCCGGAGGUGUAGAAGCUUCUGAGGGUUGGUCUGUUCGACCAUUAAAAUCUU